rnacentral:rRNA from 1 species
CUAGCGACUUCAGAGUUUGAUCCUGGCUCAGGACGAACGCUGGCGGCGCGCCUAACACAUGCAAGUCGAACGGAGAAAGAGACAGCUUGCUGGAUCUUCUUAGUGGCGGACGGGUGAGUAACACGUGAGCAACCUGCCCCUCAGAGUGGAAUAACGUUUGGAAACGAACGCUAAUACCGCAUAACACCACUGGAUGGCAUCAUCCGAUGGUCAAAGAUUUAUCGCUGAGGGAUGGGCUCGCGUCCGAUUAGGUAGUUGGUGAGAUAACAGCCCACCAAGCCGACGAUCGGUAGCCGGACUGAGAGGUUGAACGGCCACAUUGGGACUGAGACACGGCCCAG